UUUUCAUGUGUCCUCUGGUUUCUGGGAGAGAGUGAAGUCUCUUUUACUCACUGCAUUGUAAGUUCUUCCCAGGCAGGGACUCUAUCUUACUGAUCUUUAUUUUUCCAGUACUUAGCACAAUGUUUGAUGCAUAGUUGACACUCACUGUGGUUUUUGAAUUGAACUCAGUAAAUACCAAAAUGCUAGAAUUAACUACUACAUAGUUAUUUUUAUGGGUAGAGAAAUAUUAAACAUCAGAGGAAAUACCCUUGAAAUGAUGGGCAAAAAUGUAAUGAUUCAUUUUUUUCUUUGUAAGAAGGAGGAGACUGUACAUAGUUUAAAAUAAUUGGGACAAUUUGGAACUUUUACCAAGCUAAUAAUUGUUUUGAGAAAAGAAAAAUACCUCUAAGUUUUUGGCAAAACUGAAAUAGUCCCUGUCUUUCUCCAAGGAGGGCGUUCUUCAUUAGUUUGGAGAUAACAAGGCUUAUUUCUUAGAAUAAGCUUAUUUUUCUAUUUGUUCUGCUUCACGUUAAGCUCUACUCUACACUGGCCAUAGUAGAAAAUUCGUUUAAAAUCAUAGAAUCCAGAUUUCAGAAUUGGAAAGGAGCUUACUCAUUUAGCUCAUAUCGUUGUGCUUGGCAGAACUAUUAUUCACUUUUAAGCAGAAUGAGUACCAGAGUUUGUUAAAAGGGUGAUGGCUUUAGUUAUAAUACUAAAUUACAUAAUAUAUACAGAUAAAAAAUUAUGCUGUACUAAAUUAUGUAUUUAUUAUGCUAUGAUCAAAGGUGGAGUUCAGCAUAUGACCACUGGGAGUCACUGUGUAGCUGUCACAGCUAAGGAGGCCUCCACACCAUCCACACCAGCUUCCUGGCCUGCUAGGGAGAUAACAUACUCAUCUCUUUUCCCCAACCACUGGCAUUUAUCCAUUUGCCAACUGGUAGUUAUUAAGUGUCCACAGAGAGCUGGGUGCUGUGUUAAAUUAGGCAACAUAGUGAGAACAAGCUGCUUGUGUGGCUAGCAGUGUUUCCCCGCCCCACCCUAUCCCCAGCAAAGCUCUUUAAACCUUCCUUAUGAUUUAUGUUCCAUUUAUUUAUUAUUAUUUAUACAUUUAUGAGAUUUUUGUCUUUCCUACUAGAGAUCCUUGAGAGAGAGGUCUACAUUUUUUUAUUUUGUAAUUGUUAAUACCGUUGGCUGGUCUGUAGUUGGUCCUUAUUUUAUAUUGAGCGGCUGGAUGCUAUGCCAGUUGUUUCCUCUUGUUCUUUUGAUUUAGCUUAUUAUUUCUUCUAGGAUGUAUUACUCCCUAGUUAUUGCCACCUAUUCAGCAUCACUCCCUACUUACUGUCCUCUAGUGCUGUUGCAGUAAUGAAAUGGAUAUAGGUGAAUCAUUUUCUUGGUUAUCAAUUAUUCUUCCUUCCUCAUUCUGCUGUAGCAGUUUAGGGGUCUUGUUUAUACCACAUCAGAAAUGAAUGACAUCAGUUAUCAAUAGAAGCAUUAGAAGUCUCACUUUUGUGGAACUAGAAUUGAACAAUGUGUAUGAAAAGUUGUGUGGUGCUGGAGAACGGUUCUGCAAGAGUACCAAAUUCACAAGAGAGAAAUGGACAUUUAAUUUCAUGUUUUUCACCAGUGAUCAAUUUUAAAACAGAGAAUUAUAUUAAUUCUCACCACCUCCCUGUCUCCAUUUAUAAAGUUUAUUUAAUUUCUAUUAAAUGUUAGGUAGGGACCAGAACUUCAGGAGAGAAAAAGAAUGAAUUAAGCAAAGUCUAAUACCUUAAACAGCUUGCUAUACAAUUGUGGGUGGAGCUAGAAAUAACAUAGAAAACAAAUUAAACUUUAAAGGCAGCACUUAACUGCCAAAUAAGUGGAAGAGAUCAUAGGAAUUUAUAAAUAUGAAUGAUUCUGUUUAGAUUAGAUCUGUCAUGAUUGGUUCCAGAAAAUUGGAUUUUGCCUGUCUUUGAAGUAUUGAGAUACUCCAUUCUGUGGAAUGGACAGCAAAAGACACUUUGGGGAGAGAUGUUCAGGUAUGUCUGGGUAAUAAUGAGAAAAAUUUAUGUCUAAAGAUGAGAACCUGUUUAAGAGGAAGUGGGAAAAAAAGAAAGUUGAUAGCGAAGUGCUUAAGAUAUAUUUUUGUGAAGUACCUAAGAUAUAUUUUUAGUCAUGAGUUUUGGGGCCAUAAAAGAGCAUACUUAAAAUUGGGUCUUGAAUUCCAUUUCUCAUUUUAUAUCCUACUCUUAUUGCUGGGACAACUGGGUGUUCUCUGUAGAUAUUACAUCUGGAGUUUCCAUGUCCAGUAACUUUUUUCUUCACACUGCUGUUACUAACAGUAAAAGUCUAAAUAUCACCAGAGGGGCUCAACUUUCUUGCAAUAAAGUUAGUAUUUCAUCCAAAGAACCUUUGCCUUUGCAGAUGACAACUGCUAGAACACAUGAGGCCCGAAGGGAACCCGGUGUUUGGGCAACUGAUUUUUGAUAAAGAGAACAUAGAGCUCCAGGUCAUAUCACAGGAUUUUCUGUUUUUCUUUGGCUUCCAUUAAAAAAAAAAAAAAUUGUCCCAGAAAACUUUCUGCCAGACUAAGAGCGACCAGUGCUGAGCUUGUGUGAUAAAACACCGAGGCCCUUGAGGAUAAAUUGGUGGCAGGAAAAGUUGCUUGCUGAAUUAAUUAAACAAAAUUUGCAUCUUUAAAUAUUUUAAUCAUUAGGUAAGUAGAAUUGUGGGCUUAGGGUAUAAUUAGUAAUAUUCUGUUUUUAUUCUGUUCACUCUUUUCUUAAUUUCUCUCCUUCAUGCUGUGUUUGAGGAUUGCCAAUUCAGGAACCCUUUAUUCCCAUAAUUGAGAACCAAACUUUAUUCCCAUAAUUGCGUAAAGACUUCUGUUCCUGUUAAUGCUGAUAGAUUUUUUUUUAGUUCCAUUAAGGGAAAUGGAUCUUUAUUUUCGUGUCUAUUGUAAAAUGAGAUAGCUGGAACCUCACAGGUAAUAAAGACCAGACAAGCUGAUUAAAUGAAGAAAACCAUAGAGAAAACAAUUGAUUUAUGGUAAAGAUUUUUUUGUUUGUCCAAAAAAGUCUCCAUAAUCAAUUUUUCUUUCAUGGGAAUAAUAGUGAAGUAACUUGGAGAAAUUAUUUGUGUAUAUGUCUGAUUUUAUGGUAUGAAUUUUAUUAUUUUAUGGUAUUAGCUUAUAUAGUCUAAACUCCCAUUUACCUGUAGAGCAUGUUGUUAAAGCUACAAAAGGCCAAUCACAAUUUUUAGAACAAGAACUGGAAGAGAUAAAUAGUGUACCUGAUACAAAAGCAACUCAUUUCACGUUCUAGUGACUUAUAAGAGACUGUGUUAAUCCUCUGUAUAUCUAGGUAGACAGUAUGAUUGGAAAAAGAUCUUAAUAGGUAUAUAUCAUUUAACUUAAUAGAUAUUUCUACAGAUUUUAACCCUCUAUUUUAAAAAAUUGAUAAAUAGUUUAAUUUAUUGUAGUGAAAAUGUCUGUAUAAUUGUAUGGAAAUUGAUUUUCAAAAUGUAAUUAUCCUGUAAGUGUACCAAAAAUAGUUUCCAAUUUAAAAAAUUGCAGAGAGUUUUUGGUAAUUAACCUUUUAAAUAUUGCAAAUAGCCUUUACUUAUAUAAAAUGUAAACUAUAUUUAGUAAGCCUGAAUUUUUCAUAUGUAUCAAGAUCUGUUAAAAUUGGUCAGAUAUGCAGCUUCCUUCUAUUUGGGAUUAAAAAAGAUGUGACAAAAGUGUUUUUCUGAUACCAGGAGCACACUUAUUGUUGAGCUUUGACCUAAAUAUUGAGCUAAGAGGACAGAAUGUGUCUGCAGGCCAUCAAAACAAUUAAAUUAAAAUUAACAGUUUUAUCAGUCAUAAAGAUGGAUAUUUUAUACUAAACACAUUCAGUUGUUUACAGGAAUUUUUACUUUAAGUAAAAAAUUUGAAGGGUAUGAGGCUGAGUCUCUAUAAAUACAACUAUAAAACAUAAUACAAAAAUAAAUGAACAUGUGAGAUAAAUCUAGGAAGUUAUUGGACGAAACUUUUAAAAAUAAUGGGAAAAAUACUUAAGAUGUUUUAAUUCGUAUUCCUUCAAAAUCCCUUAUUGAACAUGAAUUCUGACUUAUGUUUUUAAUUAUAUUUUUAAUCUGUCUCUUCCAUCUCUUACUAGGGUCGAAGGGUUAAUUUUACAUGAAAGGAAAAGCUAAAUAAAUGAAAUAGUGGUAAAUGUUAACUGGGCUCAUAUAUAUGACCAUUUAGCCUUGAAGCAGUAGAAAAAUUAUUUUAUAUGUAAAUGUUCAUUGUCCCUAGAUAUUUCUUAGAGAAACUGAGAAUGGUAAUUUUCAGGUGAUAACUUUUUGACAGCAAAAAGGAAUUUCUUUUAAAAUUUUCCUAUAGAGUAGUGAAAAAUCAGAAAGAGAGUAUUAUAGAAAGGAAACUAGGAAAUAGGGAAUAAGAAGGAACUUAGAAAUUAUCUAAUAACUAGUGUGUCUCCUUCAACACAGAGGUGAGAGAAAUUGCACUAUGGUGCAAGAUAAGCGCAUGCUUGUUGACUUUUUUAACUUUUUGUUAUACAGACAUUUCUAACAUGUUUAAAAGUGAAAUGAAUAGCUCAAGACUCUGCUGUCCAGUAUGGUAAUCACUGGUAGCGUGGCUGUAGAGCAUUUCAGAGGUGGCUAGUGACACAAGUUGAAAUGAUAUUUUGGAUAAUUGAAUUAAAUAAAUUAUUUUAAAAAACGAAUUUCACCUAUUUCUUUUUACUUUUUAAAAUGUAGGUCCUAGAGGAGUUCCCGUCGUGGCGCAGUGGUUAACGAAUCCAACUAGGAACCAUGAGGUUGCGGGUUCGGUCCCUGCCCUUGCUCAGUGGGUUAAUGAUCCGGCGUUGCCGUGAGCUGUGGUGUAGGUUGCAGANNNNNNNNNNNNNNNNNNNNNNNNNNNNNNNNNNNNNNNNNNNNNNNNNNNNNNNNNNNNNNNNNNNNNNNNNNNNNNNNNNNNNNNNNNNNNNNNNNNNNNNNNNNNNNNNNNNNNNNNNNNNNNNNNNNNNNNNNAAAAAAAAAAAGACAAAAAAAAAAUGUAGGUACUAGAAAAUUUGUAAGUAUGUGUAUGACUCAAAGUAUAUUUUUAUCAGACAGUUGUGUCAAUUACUUCUACCCACUUCAGUGGUCAUCAACUCAGGACUUACGACUCAUCUGUGUGCUUUAGAGCUGCCUAUAGUCAUACUGGUAAUUGGUUCCACCUUUGGCAUGGAACGCUUGCUUGUUGGCUGUUGAUCUUUCUACUACUAUACUUUUAAAUUGAGGUCUUUUUUUGGUGUGUGCUAGUUUUACUAUCUUCUAAUUAUUUAAGAUUACAUUUCUGAGAUUUACUGAUUUUGACAGGUCAAUAAUGCAUUCAUCCAUUUCCUUUACAGACUAUUAUUUUAAUUUAAUUGAUAAAGACUCUUGGAUCAAAUUCUCCAUUUACUUUACUAAGUAGGGUGGGCUCAUUUGUACAUCAUUUCUCCUUCCUCCAAAAUCUUGAUUACUUAAGGAUAGCAAUAGAGUUAGUGCCUUCUUGGGUAUGCUUCUCAUUUAUACUUCUCAUGCAAAGUUUAAUUAUUUGCUUAAAGUUUAUGUUAAAAAACAUAAUCAAUCAACAUAUACACUGAAUAUUUACCACCCACCCAAUAUCCAUCAUUAGAGUUAGUAGUCUUGGGUUGGGAAAAGAAAGAAAAAAACACGAAUUUGUUUCCAAACAUGCUGGACCUGAAGUGUCAGGUCUAGAGAUUAGCAAGAGCUGAGCUAUUGGGGAAAUACUUUCUAUCUAGACAUUCUCUUCAGUGAUGACUUAUUGAAUCAAAAAGGAAAACAUUCCAAUAAAACAAUUUAUUAUAGAAAUAUGCUACUUCAGGGAAUAUUUACAAUUUAAUUUCUUCAUAUAUCUUUAUAUACGUUUGCUAUAGUUAUUUCAGUGAAAUACACUAUAUUUUAUUUUAUUUAUUUAUUUUUAUUUUUGUCUUUUUCCCAUUUCUUGGGCCUCUCCAAGAGGUUAGGAGUUGAAUCUGAGCUGUAGCUGCUGGCGUAUGCCAGAGCCACAGCAACACGGGAUCCGAACUGUGUCUGCAACCUACACCACAGCUCACAGCAAUGCCGGAUCCUUAACCCACUGAGCAAGGCUAGGGAUCCAACCCGCAACCUCAUGGUUCCUAGUCAGAUUCGUUAACCACUGCGUCACAACGGGAACUCCACUAUCUAUAUUUUAAAAACCAGGAGUUCUCUUUGUGGCUCAGUGGGUUAAGAGCCUGACUAGUAUCCAUGAGGGCACAGGUUUGAUCCCUGGCCUUGCUCAGUGGGUUAAGGAUCCAGCGUUGCCAUGAACUGUGGUGUAGGUUGCAGACAUGGCUCAGAUCUGGCGUGGCUGUGGUGUAGGCUGGCAGCUGUAGCUCCUAUUAGACCCCUAAUCUGGGAACUUUCAUGUGCCACAGGUGCGGCCCUAAAAAGAAAAGAAAAAAAAACACAGUUGUGUUAUUUGGGUAUAUGUAAAUCAUUAACAGAAUCUGUGCAAUACAUUUUUUAAAUUUAAUUACAAACUUGACUUCCACAUUUCCAUCUUGAAAAGUUGAAUGGCCUUUAUAAUAGAAA
rnacentral:lncRNA from 1 species